rnacentral:lncRNA from 1 species
GCAAAGUCCAAUGGAAGAAGCGGUCAGAAGAGCUGCAGACCCGGAUCGAGUUGCUGGAGGAGGAGAAUGCUUUACUGAAGCAGCAGCUUGAGCAAAGGCCUUCAGCAGAGCAAGGUGACACAGUGGACAACACUGACCCCGAACCAGAGUCAAACACUGACGCAAGUAGCAGCUCCAGCACAGACUCAGAUUCCAGCAGCAGCAGCUCUUCCUCCUCUGAUGGCCGAAAAAAAAAGAGGAAGCACAAGAAAAAAGCAAAAAAAAGGAGCAAAAAGUCGAAGAAGUCGAAGAAGUCAAAGGCCAAAGGAUAUCGUGUGACAACCAUAUCGGAUGUGGUGAAGCGGUACCGCCAGGUCCUUCGAAUAAUGGAAAGGGGACACACAAUGUCAAGGGCAUUCGCAAAGGCAGGCGUCUCAAGAAAUGCUGUGAAGGACACCGCCGCAAUCGCGGAACUCUACAUAGCUGACAGAAGUGUCCUGGAGGAGAUAAAGGGCAAAAAGACGCUCCUCCAUUUAUCAAAGGUCUGCGACUCAAAAAUAAUUGGAGAGCUUUCUUUGAAGAUUGAAGAACUUAAAAAGAAAAAGAAACUGAUACCAUUCACCAAAAGAGGCUGAGGCUGAAAUGGACAGAGGAGAAAGGGGAGAGUGUUUUCAUAUAUUUAAAAAAAAAAAAAAUGUUUUUGUUUUAUUUGUUCAAACGGUUUAUAGUAUUCUUGUUUCUUUUGACUCUUAGUUUAUUUAAAAAAAAAAAAAUGUUUUUGUUUUAUUUGUUCAAACGGUAUAUAGUAUUCUUGUUUCUUUUGACUCUUAGUUUUUUUAAAAUAAUAAAGUUGCUUUCUUCUCUGAUAUGCUGCUUAUGUGUUGUUUAUUUCACUUUGCGG